UACGUAGGGGGCUAGCGUUGUCCGGAAUCAUUGGGCGUAAAGCGCGUGUAGGCGGCCCGGUAAGUCCGCUGUGAAAGUCGGGGGCUCAACCCUCGAAUGCCGGUGGAUACUGUCGGGCUAGAGUGCGGAAGAGGCGAGUGGAAUUCCUGGUGUAGCGGUGAAAUGCGCAGAUAUCAGGAGGAACACCAAUGGCGAAGGCAGCUCGCUGGGACGGUACUGACGCUGAGACGCGAAAGCGUGGGGAGCAAACAGG
rnacentral:rRNA from 1 species